rnacentral:rRNA from 1 species
UACGUAGGGGGCAAGCGUUAUCCGGAUUUACUGGGUGUAAAGGGAGCGUAGACGGCAGGGCAAGUCUGGAGUGAAAGCCCGGGGCCCAACCCCGGGACUGCUUUGGAAACUGCCAUGCUGGAGUGCUGGAGAGGUAAGCGGAAUUCCUAGUGUAGCGGUGAAAUGCGUAGAUAUUAGGAGGAACACCAGUGGCGAAGGCGGCUUACUGGACAGUAACUGACGUUGAGGCUCGAAAGCGUGGGGAGCAAACAGG